GCCAUGUGUGUGGCCCGUUUUCCGACCGUACCGUAACCAGGUAAUGGGAUCUACCCGCCAGAUGUACAACUGUCUUGGGAAUCCUCAUACAGACUAAAGGUGUUUUGCCCCCGCGGUUGUGAAGAGGAUGCUGUGGAAGUGGCAGCAUGAACGUGUCACACAGACAUUGGCUAAACUGCUCAGCUUCUACACUUGCCCUCAGAGUUCACAUAUGGUUAAGUGCCCAGGUGUCCAGCCAGGUUCAGACUGAUGCUGGUAACAAGAGGAAAACAUGCUGAUUGGAAUGAUUCAACGAUGGACAUUUUGCUUAAUUGUGGAAAAAAAUAAAUGGAAAAACUUC